rnacentral:rRNA from 1 species
UACGGAGGGUGCAAGCGUUAUCCGGAUUCACGGGGUUUAAAGGGUGCGUAGGAGGGCAGGUAAGUCAGUGGUGAAAUCUCCAAGCUUAACUUGGAAACUGCCGUUGAUACUAUCUGUCUUGAAUAUUGUGGAGGUGAGCGGAAUAUGUCAUGUAGCGGUGAAAUGCUUAGAUAUGACAUAGAACACCAAUUGCGAAGGCAGCUCACUACUCAAUCAUUGACUCUGAGGCACGAAAGCGUGGGGAUCAAACAGG